rnacentral:lncRNA from 1 species
UAUACACCAACAGGAUAAUAUCACGAGUGUGUGUGGCAACACUGCCGCAUGUUAAUCCUGCCUGCCUCCUGGGAUGAUCUUUCUCAUCCCAGCAGAGCCUACAGAGCCUCCUUUGUUCUUCCCAGAAGUGGCCUCAUCGGGCUGGACCUGGGGGAGGUGACCAAGGAAGUGAAAAUCAAAGAGCCCAAGGAAUGAAGCUGGCAUGGCGCUAGUCAGGGGAUGGACAGCAUCUAUGCUCUGUUCUGCCAGGAGCACUCUCGGAGAUAUGGUUCGUUCUCUUGAGAGGGAAAGCCUCCUGGGACUCGCGUGCACCCAUCCUGUCCAGCUGCGCUCCUUAGUUGCAGGCCCUGGAGCCAGGGAAGGCGGGAGUGGACUUUCGCCUGAGGCAGCAGCUGCGUGGUUAGUGGUCUGUGGCCAGGGGGGCAUUCAAGGUAGGGCACAGAACUUCCAGGCCAGGGCACCAGCCCAAAAUAGAGCCCUGGUUUGCUUUAUCUACCGUGUAGCCUGUGCUGGUCCCCAUGACAUAAGCUUCUUUUGCUGUGAGACAGGAAAUCUCUUUCUAGGCUGCUGGGGAGAUGAGAUUUUUCAGGUCAAAGUCUCAGAGUCAUUCACACAAUCCAGGAAUCUCUUCCCAAACUCCAUACUCCUAUGCUCAGCCCUCCAAGGCAGUGAUUCUCGAAGUAUGAACCACUUCAAGACCAGCAGCUCAGCACUACCAGGGAUCUUAUUAGAAAUGCAAAUUCUGUCAGGUGUGAUAGCUCACACCAGUAAUCCCAGCACUUCGGGAGGCCGAGGGGGCAGAUCACUUGAGGUCAGGAGUUUGAAACCAGCCUGGCCAACAUGGUGAAAUCCUGUCUCUACGAAAAGUACAAAAAUUAGCUGGGCAUGAUGGCGCAUACCUGGAGUCCCAGCUACUCAGGAGGCUGAGGCAGGAGAAUCGCUUCAACCCAGGAAGCAGAGGUUGCAGUGAGCUGAGGUUGCACCACUGCACUCCAGCCAGGACGACAGAGCAAGACUCCAUCUCAAAAAAAAAAAAAAAAAAAAAAAAAGAACAGAAAUGCAAAUUCUUAGAUCCCAGUGCCAAGGGUGGCUGGAGACAGUUUGUAACAUCUCAGGAGAACCAAUUGCACGUGUCUCUUUCCUAACUCCACAUUUAGUGACCAUCACACUGGGGGCUUGAAAUCAACCACGGUGAGAGUGUUUACACUGUGGAACAUUACAAAUCAGUGCUCAUUUUUCUUUCUGAAAGCCCAUUGUUAAACAGUUUCCAGCACACCACUGGACCCUACCCAGACCUACUGAACCAGAGCCCUGAAGGUGGAACCCCGCAAUCUGUGUUUCAAUAAGCUUUCCAGGUGAUUCUGAUGCACAUUCAAGUUUGAGAAUCACUGUUCCCAUGGGCCAGCUCUAGUGGUAUCAUAAGAAAGAAAGGAAUGUGGGGGUGCCCAAGGAGUAGGAUUUCACAAGGAAACUUUGGAAAAGGUAAAGAAAGAAGAGAGAAAGUAAACUAGGCCCUGGGGCCUUCCUCCAGGCAAAGAGGCAACCAGGCACUUGGCAGGAAAUACCCCUGGACGGAGAUGAGACCUGCAGCCCCGGGGAAUGGAAGGAGGAAAGAGAAUCUGGUGAGUAGGUGGGAUGCAGCCAACGUCAAAUAGGUCAUUUUUCCACGUAACCGGAUGAGGGAGAUGGCGUCAACUACUCUAAGUCAUGAGAUCGGAAGGGCACAGGAUAAUUGGCUGGGAAAAUGCUCCUUUGGGUGCAUAUUUCUGUAACGAAGAAAAACACAUUUAUGAGCAUUUGUUUUGUUUGUUUGAGGCAGGGUCUCACUCAGUCACCCAGGCUGGAGUGCAGUGGCACGAUCAUGGCUCACAGCAGCCUCAAACUCCUGGGCUCAAGCAAUCCUCCUGCCUCAGCCUUCCCAGUAGCUGGGGCUACAGGUGCACACCACCAUGCCUGGCUAAGUUUUGUAUUUUUGGUAAAGACAAAGUCUCACUAUCUUGACCAGGCUGGUUUUGAAUUCCUGGGCUAAAAGGA